UACAGAGGGUGCAAGCGUUAAUCGGAAUUACUGGGCGUAAAGCGUGCGUAGACGGUUACAUAAGUCGGGUGUGAAAGCCCCGGGCUCAACCUGGGAAUUGCAUUCGAGACUGCGUAGCUAGGGUGCGGAAGAGGGAAGCGGAAUUUCCGGUGUAGCGGUGAAAUGCGUAGAUAUCGGAGGAACACCAGUGGCGAAAGCGGCUUCCUGGUCCAGCACCCGACGUUCAGGCACGAAAGCGUGGGGAGCAAACAGGG
rnacentral:rRNA from 1 species